GAUGAACGCUAGCGGCAGGCUUAAUACAUGCAAGUCGAACGGGAUUGAGAAGCUUGCUUUUCAUGAGAGUGGCGCACGGGUGCGUAACACGUAUGCAACCUGCCUUGUCCAGGGGGAUAGCCCGUUGAAAGACGGAUUAAGACCGCAUAACAUCAUUGAAUGGCAUCGUUUAAUGAUCAAAUAUUUAUAGGGACAAGAUGGGCAUGCGUCUGAUUAGCUAGUUGGCGGGGUAAUGGCCCACCAAGGCGACGAUCAGUAGGGGAUCUGAGAGGAUGACCCCCCACACUGGUACUGAGACACGGACCAGACUCCUACGGGAGGCAGCAGUAAGGAAUAUUGGUCAAUGGGCGCAAGCCUGAACCAGCCAUGCCGCGUGCAGGAAGACGGCCCUACGGGUUGUAAACUGCUUUUAUACGGGAAUAACCCCGGUUUCGUGAAACCGGCUGAAUGUACCGUAAGAAUAAGGAUCGGCUAACUCCGUGCCAGCCGCCGCGGUAA
rnacentral:rRNA from 1 species